GACGAACGCUGGCGGCGUGCUUAACACGUGCAAGUCGAACGGUAAGGCCCCUUCGGGGGUCCACGAGUGGCGAACGGGUGAGUAACACGUGAGCAACCUGCCCUUGACUUUGGGAUACCAGCUGGAAACAACUGCUAAUACCGGAUAUGACCUCUUCUCUCAUGGGUUGAGGUGGAAAGCUCCGGCGGUCAGGGAUGGGCUCGCGGCCUAUCAGCUUGUUGGUGAGGUAAUGGCUCACCAAGGCUUCGACGGGUAGCCGGCCUGAGAGGGCGACCGGCCACACUGGGACUGAGAUACGGCCCAGACUCCUACGGGAGGCAGCAGUGGGGAAUAUUGCACAAUGGGCGCAAGCCUGAUGCAGCAACGCCGCGUGCGGGAUGACGGCCUUCGGGUUGUAAACCGCUUUCAGUAGGGACGAAGCUAACGUGACGGUACCUACAGAAGAAGGACCGGCUAACUACGUG
rnacentral:rRNA from 1 species